UACGUAGGGGGCAAGCGUUAUCCGGAAUUACUGGGCGUAAAGGGAGCGUAGACGGUAAUGUAAGUCUGGAGUGAAAGGCGGGGGCCCAACCCCCGGACUGCUCUGGAAACUAUGUUACUAGAGUGCAGGAGAGGUAAGCGGAAUUCCUAGUGUAGCGGUGAAAUGCGUAGAUAUUAGGAGGAACACCAGUGGCGAAGGCGGCUUACUGGACUGUAACUGACGUUGAGGCUCGAAAGCGUGGGGAGCAAACAGG
rnacentral:rRNA from 1 species